rnacentral:rRNA from 1 species
AGUAAAGCAUAGAAAUCUGCCUUAUAGAGGAGGAUAACUUGGGGAAACCCGAGCUAAUACUGCGUAAGUUCUACGGAAGAAAGGUUGGGACUCUGAGAGGAGCCAGCCGCUAUGAGAUGAGUCUAUGUCGGAUUAGCUAGUUGGUGGGGUAAAGGCCUACCAAGGCAGAGAUCCGUAGCCGGUCUAAGAGGAUGGACAGCCACACUGGGACUGAGACACGGCCCAG